UGGGGAAUAUUGCACAAUGGGCGAAAGCCUGAUGCAGCAACGCCGCGUGAGUGAUGAAGGCCUUCGGGUUGUAAAGCUCUGUCUUUUGGGACGAUAAUGACGGUACCAAAGGAGGAAGCCACGGCUAACUACGUGCCAGCAGCCGCGGUAAUACGUAGGUGGCAAGCGUUGUCCGGAUUUACUGGGCGUAAAGGAUGCGUAGGCGGAUUUUUAAGUGAGAUGUGAAAACCCUAAGCUUAACUUGGGGACUGCAUUUCAUACUGGAAAAUCUAGAGUGCGGGAGAGGAGAGUGGAAUUCCUAGUGUAGCGGUGAAAUGCGUAGAGAUUAGGAAGAACACCAGUGGCGAAGGCGAUUCUCUGGACCGUAACUGACGCUGAGGCAUGAAAGCGUGGGUAGCAAACAGGAUUAGAUACCCUGGUAGUCCACGCCGUAAACGAUGAGUACUAGGUGUAGGAGGUAUCGACCCCUUCUGUGCCGCAGUUAACACAAUAAGUACUCCGCCUGGGAAGUACGAUCGCAAGAUUAAAACUCAAAUGAAUUGACGGGGUCAUAGCUGUUUCCU
rnacentral:rRNA from 1 species